rnacentral:lncRNA from 1 species
CUCUUGGGAGGUGGAAGACUAAGUCACUGGGCGCAUGUCUUUGAAGGGUACAUCUGGUCCUUGGCCCCUUCCUCUCAGGCUCUUUCACCAUCUCUUCUUCCUGUUUGCUAUGAGAGCUGCAGAAAGCCUCAGUUCAGACAGAAUCUAUAGAUGAAUAAUACAACCUACCAAUCACCCCUGCCAUGUUCUACCUGCUGAGGUGUGACAGAUAACUCACACCCUGUGGGCCAAAGGGUGCUGGAUAGGAAGAGCAGCUAGGGAGCAAAAAGUGAGGUCACUGUCUGUUGGGAUGUUCCUGAGAUCCUGGUUGGUUGCUUGGUUGACUUUAGCUACUGAGCAUAAAAAAUUUCUCAGUGAUGCUGCUGAUCCUGCUACAAAUCAGAAUUGCUCAGUUUGAAGCACCUGUCUGGGGCAGGGGUCCUCACACAGAGCUGCUCAGACAUGCUUCUUGGAGCUAGGCUGAGAAGUAUCUAGCACCUCUCUCCCUCCUGAUGACAACAAGAGGAUGAAGCCAGCCAGAGAUCUUGCAGGAAUGACAGCAUCAGUAGAAGCUGAAGUCACUGCUGGAUAAACAUGAGAUGAACAUCAGUGGAAAAUCAGCUUCUGGGUUAUAAAGAAAAUGGAGAAAGUCUUAUAAGCACAACAGAUUGGAAAACUAAAAUAAAGAUACAUCUGUGUUUCCCAGGUUUCACAGAGCCCAUAACCGAUUAACAAACCCACUGC